AAAGACAACAGAACGGAGAGAUGCCAUGGUCGUGAAGGUGGUUUUCCCAGGCUAGGCUUAUCCAUGGUACUCCAGAUGUGCUGACACCUUUGAUUUUCCCAAAUGUAGGAAACUGGACUACGUAAUUUGUGGUAGUGGGGGACUACGUUCAUGUUCUGUCCUG
rnacentral:snRNA from 1 species